GUGUGUGCAUGCGCGCGCGCGUGAUCGAUCAUGGAAUAAUACGAAAAAAAAUCAAAAAUGGGCUCGAAACAUAGCUUAGGAAAACACAUGGAAAAUAGGGAUGAUUUGAGACAUUUGAGUGCCAUUGCAGCAAAAGUUGGAAGUAUAUACUAUAUGAUAACGAUUACAAAAUACACAUGAAAAUGGGACGAAAACGUGAGGACCCGUAUAUUCUAAAUAAUUAUUCACUGCUUUAAAAACAAAUUCAAUGCAAGCACACAAAGAAUUUAUGUGCUUAAAGCAAUAAAUUUGUGAUUGUAAAGCAGAGAAUUGAUGUAAUUAAAGCAGAACGUAUACAUAACUAUAUCGAGUCGGGCUGUAUCGAUGACAGAUAUCUCAACCUCUAAAGUCUAGAACUUUAACGCUUAAUAACUCGAUUAACUCGAAUAACUUAA